rnacentral:rRNA from 1 species
CGUGUAGGCGGCCAGGUAGGUCGGUUGUGAAAACUGGAGGCUCAACCUCCAGACGUCGACCGAAACCAUCUGGCUAGAGUCCGGAAGAGGAGAGUGGAAUUCCUGGUGUAGCGGUGGAAUGCGCAGAUAUCAGGAAGAACACCCGUGGCGAAGGCGGCUCUCUGGGACGGUACUGACGCUGAGACGCGAAAGCGUGGGGAGCGAACAGGAUUAGAUACCCUGGUAGUCCACGCCGUAAACGAUGGGUGCUAGGUGUGGGGGGUGUCGACUCCCCCCGUGCCGCAGCUAACGCAUUAAGCACCCCGCCUGGGGAGUACGGCCGCAAGGCUAAA